UGGGGAAUCUUCCACAAUGGGCGAAAGCCUGAUGGAGCAACGCCGCGUGAGUGAAGAAGGUCUUCGGAUCGUAAAGCUCUGUUGCACAGGACGAAAACCGGGUUUGAAAACAUUGAGCCUGGGUGACGGUACUGUGCGAGGAAGCCACGGCUAACUACGUGCCAGCAGCCGCGGUAAUACGUAGGUGGCGAGCGUUGUCCGGAAUUAUUGGGCGUAAAGGGAGCGCAGGCGGGCAUAUCAGUCCAUCUUAAAAGUGCGGGGCUCAACCCCGUGAGGGGAUGGAAACUGUAUGUCUUGAGUGCAGGAGAGGAAAGCGGAAUUCCCAGUGUAGCGGUGAAAUGCGUAGAUAUUGGGAGGAACACCAGUGGCGAAGGCGGCUUUCUGGACUGUAACUGACGCUGAGGCUCGAAAGCCAGGGGAGCGAACG
rnacentral:rRNA from 1 species